rnacentral:rRNA from 1 species
UACGAAGGGGCUAGCGUUGUUCGGAAUUACUGGGCGUAAAGCGCACGUAGGCGGACAUUUAAGUCAGGGGUGAAAUCCCGGGGCUCAACCCCGGAACUGCCUUUUGAUACUGGGUGUCUGGAGUCCGGGAAGAGGUGAGUGGAACUGCGAGUGUAGAGGUGAAAAUUCGUAGAUAUUAGCUAGAACACCAGUGGCGAAGGCGGCUCACUGGCCCGGUAUG